GUCUGCGUCACCAAUGGAUUAUUCAUAUUUCUUACUAGUGACGCUAGUAUUGUUAUCUGUGGUCAAUUGCUUUUAAAAUACCAACGUUUACAAGAGGGAGCACUCGCUUAUGAAGCCAUGUACGGGGUCACCUGGGACUUUCAAGCUAGGGAGCGAGGUUACAACGCCUUUGACUAUUAUAAUGCAAACGCCGAGCUGAAGCAGGUCAUUGACCAGAUUGCUUCAGGAUUCUUCCGCCCAAACAACCCACGAAGAGUUCUGUGAUAUCUACAACAACCUUAUGUACUACGAUUGUUUCUUCUGUCUGGCUGAUUAUGACGACUACAUGGCCGCCCAAGAAAGGGUUAACGAGGCCUACAAGGACCAGAGCGUCUGGAUGAAGAUGUGUAUCCACAACAUUGCUUCAUCUGGUAAAUUCUCCAGUGACAGGACUAUCGCCGAAUACGCAUGUGAAAUAUGGGGCGUUGAGCCUACGUGGGAUAAGUUCCCUGCUCCUCACGAAACUAUUUAGGAAGGCAAAUGAAAUGUUGAAGCGUCUAUUUUAUCACAUUUGCAUAUUAUAGGAGGAAAAGUUUGCAAAACGUGUUCACAGUAAUCAUCACACAAUCAUGUUACAACUCGACUAAUCUCCUGUAAGUGGAAGAGUUGUAACCCGAUUGAAUAAUGUGUGGGAAAAGAACGAUCUUGUAAAUCUUUUAAAGCCGUCUCUCCAGACUGUUGUAGCCACAAUGUCAUUUAUUGUUCAUGUUUGUUAUUUUUCUUGAAUUCUAGCUUCGAUGUUGUUCUGUUUCUGUCACAGAAAGAACUUUAAUGUGAGUUUCUAUUUCUUCUCUUACCAUUUUAAAACUAUUGUGGUCAUUUUCAAAAUCCCACCUUGUUUUCCUUUCUAUGUAGUCAAAUGUAAUGAGAAUGAGGAAAUAGAUAUAAAUCCGCAUUACAAAUCUCA